rnacentral:rRNA from 1 species
CCUACGGGAGGCAGCAGUGGGGAAUAUUGCGCAAUGGGCGAAAGCCUGACGCAGCGACGCCGCGUGAGGGAUGAAGGUCUUCGGAUCGUAAACCUCUGUCAGCAGGGAAGAACGGUCACUGUGCUAAUCAGCAGUGAAUUGACGGUACCUACAAAGCAAGCACCGGCUAACUCCGUGCCAGCAGCCGCGGUAAUACGGAGGGUGCGAGCGUUAAUCGGAAUUACUGGGCGUAAAGCGCUCGUAGGCGGUAUGUCAAGUCAAGGGUGAAAUCCCCGCGCUCAACGUGGGAACUGCCUUUGAAACUGGCAAACUGGGGUGUGUGAGAGGAUAGUGGAAUUCCAGGUGUAGGAGUGAAAUCCGUAGAUAUCUGGAGGAACAUCAGUGGCGAAGGCGACUAUCUGGCACAUAACUGACGCUGAGGAGCGAAAGCGUGGGUAGCAAACAGGAUUAGAUACCCUGGUAGUC